UACGUAGGGUGCAAGCGUUAAUCGGAAUUACUGGGCGUAAAGCGUGCGCAGGCGGUUCGGAAAGAAAGGUGUGAAAUCCCCGAGCUUAACUUGGGAACUGCACUUUUAACUACCGAGCUAGAGUGUGUCAGAGGGAGGUGGAAUUCCGCGUGUAGCAGUGAAAUGCGUAGAUAUGCGGAGGAACACCGAUGGCGAAGGCAGCCUCCUGGGAUAACACUGACGCUCAUGCACGAAAGCGUGGGGAGCAAACAGGAUUAGAAACCCUAGUAGUCC
rnacentral:rRNA from 1 species